UCAAGAAGGUUAGACCCCCACCGAGAAAGCUCAAGAUAACAUACAAACCAUCUAGGCCCAAACUGUUUAUGUAAUUUGGUUGGUCAGUUUGCUGAUUAAAAUUUGUUAAAGUAAAGUUUAUUAAAGCUAGAUCACUUUUAUGGACCUAUUGUCUUGGAAGCUCAUUUUGUAUUUACUAUUGUUACCUUUUCAAGUUUUGAAGAUCAUGUGUUUUGCUAAGUAGGCUGUUUUUUAUUUGAAUUUUGUGCUUAUUCAAUGUUAUAAUGGUAACUUUUUGGUGCCUUGUAUUGGUGUUGUCAAAUGAUUAUGAAACUUCUUAUGCUUUUAAAG